AACGCACAUUGCGCCCGCCAGCAUUCUGGCGGGCAUGCCUGUUCGAGCGUCCUCUAACCCCUCGGGACCCAGCCGCGUAAAAUCGGCUGGCGGCCCGGUGUUGGGGCGCCGCGGCUGCCGCGGCCCCCUAAAAACAGUGGCGGAUCCAUCAGCGGUUCGGACGUAGUAAAUAUCUCGUUCCAGCCGCGGGUGGCCUCCUGCCCCGAGCACCACACUCAGAGUUUUGGACCUCGAAUCAGGUAGGAAUACCCGCUGAACUUAA
rnacentral:misc_RNA from 1 species